GAAACGCUGGCGGCGUGCCUAACACAUGCAAGUCGAACGGAGAUACGAUUUCGGUUGUAUCUUAGUGGCGAACGGGUGAGUAAACGCGUGAGCAAACCUGACUCUUAGAGGGGGAUAACACCUGGAAACAAGUGCUAAUACCGCAUGACAGGGUUCCGGGCAUCCGGGACCCUUGAAAGGAGAAAUCCGGUCAGGGGAUGGGCCCGCGUCCAAUUAGCUAGUUGGCGGGGUAACGGCCCACCAAGGCAACGAUCAGUAGCCGGCCUGAGAGGGUGGACGGCCACACUGGGACUGAGACACGGCCCAGACUCCUACGGGAGGCAGCAGUGGGGAAUAUUGCGCAAUGGGGGAAACCCUGACGCAGCGACGCCGCGUGAGCGAAGAAGGCCUUAGGGUCGUAAAGCUCUGUUGUAAGGGACGAAUGUUUAUCUGGCGAACAGUCAGAUAAAGUGACGGUACCUUACCAGCAAGCCCCGGCUAACUACGUG
rnacentral:rRNA from 1 species